rnacentral:misc_RNA from 1 species
GGACAGGUUGCUUUAGAUCCCAAAUAAUUUCUGAAGCAGCUUGCAAUUGACUGGGUGUAAGAGAAUAUGGAAGAGCCUUCAGAAAUUUCUUAGUCAGCAUGGACCAUCCAUCUGUGUUUAUCAAAUUGAAUUCAGAUUUCCGAUACUUAUCCAGCAAUCCAUCUUUCUCUACUUUUGUACCAAAACCUUCAAGCAUUUGGAAUAAC